rnacentral:lncRNA from 1 species
GACAAGUCUAUAAUUUUUAAAGAAAUAUUAGUUAAUUAGGAAAUCCCUCUAGAAGAUUUCAAGAAUUAGAAUGCAAAUCAACUCACUAACUUUUUGAAUAUCAAUAUUUACAUUUCAUCAUCAUUAUUUAAAAAAUAAAAACUUAAGAAAUUUGUAGGAAGAAAUAAAUAUAAAAACAAUAGAAUGAAGGAGAAAACGAAAAUAUCGAGUUUGAUGCAUAAUAGAAAUAAUAUUUAGUCAAUAUCAUUGAUUUCACAAACUCUGGAUUACUAGACCUAUUUUC